rnacentral:rRNA from 1 species
UACGUAGGGUGCGAGCGUUAAUCGGAAUUACUGGGCGUAAAGCGUGCGCAGGCGGUUUUCCAAGACAGAUGUGAAAUCCCCGGGCUCAACCCUGGGAAUGGCAUUGUGACUGGAAGGCUAGAGUGUGUCAGAGGGGGGUAGGAAUUCCACGUGUAGCAGUGAAAUGCGUAGAGAUGUGGAGGAAUACCGAUGGCGAAGGCAGCCCCCUGGGAUAACACUGACGCUCAUGCACGAAAGCGUGGGGAGCAAACAGG